ACUCCACACCUCCCCAGCACCUCGCUGCUCUUUGGGAGCACAAAUGGUUCCCAAUAUCCCACCUGGCUCUCCUCAGGUCCAUCACCCCUUUCCCCAUCACCACCACCUGGGCACAGAGGCCUGCCCCCGCCCUCCUAUGGUGCUUUUAAGGCCCAUAGGCAGUUUAGUCUUGCUGCUGCAUUGCACCCAAGCGUGGGUUUGGCUGUGGUUUAGCACAGCGUGCAGAAGGGCUGAGGGAAGGCUGGCUGCAGCCCUGGCCUGCUGUGCCACUGCCACCGAGGGGUGGCUUUGGGCUGGAGAUGGAGAAUGCAACUCCUGCAGCAGGAAGAAGAUAACGUGAAGCUGUGAUGCCUUUCUCCCUCGCAGAAAGGCUGCAGGAAGGGAGCAAGAAGGAAACUGAGAAGAGGAAGGGGAACAAAUGGCAGUGAAGGAAGCCCAGAACUUGCUUUUCCAUCUGGUGGAUGCUCACCUGACAGCUGCCCAAAGCUCCUCAACCUCUGCUAGAAAUCCCCACAGUCCAAAGGACUCAGCCUGAAUCUGCUGAACUUGAUGGAAUGGAUGCUGCUCUGGAGGAAGCCAGCUCAGCCAGCUGUGAUGUUCAGCCAUGCGGAGCUCCUCGUUGUUCUCAAAGCUCUGCUUCAAGAAAGCGAGUGAAGCUGGGUUUAUGAAGGAUGGAGCUCAGCAGGUGGAACCUUCUCUUUAGUUUGUAAUUCACUUCAGUUUGUGCUGGCUGAAAAUCCCAGGGCUGCCAGGCUGCAUGAAUCCCAGCUGAAUCUGCAGCAAUAACAUGGGGCAGGAGCACAGCAGCCUUCACCCCACAUUGAUCUGCAGCCUCGUGCUCCUGCUCCUUGGGUCUAAGAUGCACAGUGCAGGUUGGGCUGUAGGGCAGAUGCUGCAAGGAAAUGUUUAAAUCCAAAGCUCAAAUUUGUUCCCAAUUAGUCCUAAAAAAAACAACCAAACCCAACCACCACCACCCAUCAUAACAAAUAUCCAUAGUAACAUCUCUGUUUAGGUUUGUUUUCUGAAGUCACCUCGGCUCCCUGCCAGCAUGCCUGAAUAUCUCCUGUGCCUCGUGUGCUAUUGUUUGCUGAGGUUGGUUCUGCACACGUAUGCAUGAAUGCUUUGGAAAUGGCUUUGUUUUUCUGUUCUUUAAGUAUGUCUUCCAAACAAACACCCCGGAGCAGCGGCACAGAGGUUUGCUUACACUGCACUGCGUUACUCUCAGUGUCAUUUAUCACUCUCCAGGUGGAUCACCCAGUGUUGGGAAGCUCCUAGGACCUGCCAGGCACUGACACAGCUGUAGAGAUGUUUCAUUCCUCUGAUUCUACAGCCCUCACAGGGGUAGGGUUAGGGUCUCCUCACAGCUAUAAAGAGUGACAAAUUCAUUCACUGAGCCUGCAGGCUUGAAAGCCAACAUAGAAAUGUGCCAGUGCAGUGGGUGGAGAGGAAUAUCCUGGCUACAAUGGAUUUACUUCUUCAGGAAAAGAAUCGCGGGUCAAAAUGAGAGACUUUUGCAAUGAGAGCCCCCUAUGGGCUCCCAGUGUUUUUAGCAGGCAGGUGAGCACAGGGUGCAGUUAUUAAUCAUUGUAUGACAGCAAUGAAAGCAAUCUUAAAACGAGUCAUGGUUGUAGUUGUCUAGAAAUACAGAGGUUAAGUGCAGGCUUCCUCAGUAUAUACAUAUUUUAGUGUGAAUUUGAAUAGAUGGAAGGCAGUAUAUCUCUUUUGAGACAUCAUCGCUGUGUGUACACUGCUGAAUGCCUGUCUGCCCUAUGAGUCCUUUCUGUGUCAAUCUCACCCGGCUCUUUUAAACACAAACGUCUUCCUGCUGCAGCAGCCACGUACAGGGAGCGCUCACAGAGCAGCUCCUCCUCCCCAGGAACACGCUGCUCUCCAGCCAUCAGCCCGUUGUGAGGAGCAGCAGGGCUGUGACCAGCAUGCAGCUCUGCCCGGCGCUUUGCUUCGCAGCAGCUGAGCCAUCAUCCUGCGUAAGGAGAGCAGAGCAGGCGUGAAGCAGGGCUGUGUUUGUUUUUAUAUCCCACAGAGUCCUGCUGGAGAAUCUGAUCUUUGCACUGGCUCCGUUUCUCAGCCCCUGUCCUCCUGCUGCACUGAUGGGGUUAACGAGACGUGGGGAUGGCUCCCAUCUAAUCACAUUUCAGCUGAGAUCGUGCUGUGCUGGGAGGAAAGGCAUCGAGUUGAUUCAAUUUGCUCUGCAAUGGCACUGCAUCAGCAUCAGCGUGUGCCUGGCAAUGAAGCGUUGCUUAUCAGCCUGGAAGCUCCCAAGGGAAGCAGAGAAAUGGCUCAUAGAGUGGAAACUUAAGGUCAUCUUUUGGUAGCGUCCCACCUGGAUAGCAUCACUCUUUCCAGCAGCGUGGGGCUGUAGCUUCAACUUUAACACUUCUUCUUUCUGCACCAGCUCCAUUCAAAGGGGGUGAGUUCGAAAGGAGCUGCUUUCGUGCUGCAGAGCCUCACUGUGUCUGCUUUGCAGUUCAUCAGAGCAGCUCACAAAGUUUCCAGGAUGGAGCUGGCGUUCCCACAGGGCUUCAGCCAUGCCAGGAGCCCGGAACUGUGCAGAGGGAGCAGUGCACUCCGUGCUGCCAGACACUGAUUGCUUCUCUUGGCCUCGGUUUCUGAUUUAUUUAUGUGAACUUCAUGACACCCGAGCAAGGAGCCCAGGAAGGCAUCAGAUCAAACACAGGCUGACUUCAUAGGGCUAAAAACGUCUCAGGCUGCCCAUCGUCAGCCACGUUACCCCUUGGAUCUGUGCUGACCAAGGGGACCUGCUGGAUCCUGCAGUGAAGGAGGUCGCUCCCACGCACCCAUCAAGGCCAAAACUGUGUCUUUAUAAACAAUGCUCCGUUUCAGUGACGUGGCCACAAGGAAGAGGUUUUGCUGCUUCCCUUGCAAGUGGUCAAAGUUAGCAUCCAAGGACCGAAGUCAGCUGGUCUGUUUGCCUUCAGAGAGGAUGGCUUCAUCUUUCCUGCUCCUUCAGGGAGAUGCUGGAGAACCUGGAGGUGCUUGGGAACAGUGGGGAUGUGGCACUGAGGGCACAGUGGGCACGGUGGGGGUGGGUCGAGGGUUGGACUGGGUGAUCUUGGAGGUUUUUCCAACCAUAACGGUUCUGUGUUUCAGGCUUUGAGUUACAUCUGAGCUUGUCUGAAACCUCAGUUUUUCAUGGUAUUUUUUUAGCUCCAUUGCAGGGGGGAAGGCCUCUUGCCCCCACCCUACUGAGGCCCUUUUCCCUAUGGAAGCUCAUAGCCCAGGGUCCUGCCUUCUGCUCAGGAGAGCCUUGGAUCUGCUUGAGCACAGGAAGGGAAGGUGCCAAGAAUAAGCUUGCAGAAAGAGAAGAUAAAUUAAUGAGGACCAAGACUGCUGGUGUCAGCAGGUACAGAACUACUGGUACCAGUGAGCAGGAAUGGAGGGCUCCAUGAUCCUGAUGGGUCUCUUCCAACCCAGGAUAUUCUGUGCUUCUGUGUCUCCACCGUGUAUUCUUCACCGUGUUCCUGCUGCCCCGAAGGCUUUGCCCUCUCUUUGCCUCCACCUCCAGCCAGUCCUCCUGGUUCCCUUGGGCUGACAGUGACACGCUGUGGAUUUGCUCUUGCCAUCCCAUAUCCUCUCCCAAGCCAAGGGAAAGGAACAUGUGGAAAGGGGAAAAAAAUGGGCUGCAAGCUUAGUGCUGGGACCUCGAUAAAUGCAAGUGACAUAAAUGCUGGCUGAGACACCUUCUGCCUGCUGGCUCCUCUGCUGCUAGGGAGUUAUGCUGGCUGUGAAGUGGCUUUCUGGAGCUGGUGUGGAGCCAACCUUGGAGCAAAUGCUCGGCCAGAGCCAAUUCAUUAGCAAAGGGAAGCGGCCGCAAGCCCUCCAUUUAGGGGGGCUUCACAUGUCACUUCACAUGGCUGAAGGCAGCCCUGCUGAUGAUGUUUCAAGACCUCUGCUGCCCCAGCAGCCAGUGGCACCACGUCAGGCUUCGCUGGUCAGCCCCAACCUGGUGGCCUGACAAGUUUUCCACCCACCCAGCCAUCCUGUUCUUUGUGUCUCCUGGAGCAAACCAUGCUAAAGCCACACUGAAGUCUACAGUCAUAGAAUCAUUAAGGGAAAAGACCACUAAGAUAAUCACAACCAACCACACUCCUCCCCUUGGCUACCCACCACUUUGUUGUAGAAGGCCAUGGGGUUGCUCAGGUGUGCCAUGCCCUUGUAGGUCCUUGGUGGCCAUUCCCUGUCAUCUGCCUGUCCUCCACCUGCCCAGAAUCACCUCCCAGGAGCGUUUGCCCCACCGCCUUCCUGGGGACUGAAAAGCUGCUCUCCAGAUCUUCCUCCUUAUCCUGUCUAAAGUGAGAUAUGACAUUUGUCUCUUUACAUCAUCUUUACAUCAGCUAUCCCUGUGAUCACCAUGGCCUUCCCAAACCUUAGGUGGGAGUAUCGAUGUUGGCCAGCCCCUCCUUGCCAUGUUGAAAACCCCACUGACAAAGUUGCUCUUUAAGUUGACCCUGCUGGGUCUUUGCCAGCACUGCUUGCCUUGGGGCUGGCUUGGUAGGAGUGGGAUGUCUGUGCUGCCCAACCCAGCAGAGAGGUCCAGCCGUGUGUCCAUUGCAUCCUCACCAUUUGUAGGCCGUGUGGUUGGGUCUCGAUUCCCCAGAAGCACAUCAGAUCCUUGGGCCAAUGACCAAGCUUUGAGGGUUUGGGGCAAACACAGCACUUUUGGCCUCUGGGGAGAGGUUGUGAGCAGAUCAACACGUUAACGAGCUUUUCAGUACCAUAGGGACACCUUCCCAG